UUUAUAAAAAUUGGACCAAAAUAUACGCCAAUAAUUGUUUUAAAGUGAAAAAGAAACUAAUUUCAUUUACCUUUUUUUCAUCCAUUAACCUUUCUUCCCCAAAUUGCAUGUUUCAUCUCCACAUCUCACGUUUAAGUUUAGAUUCCUUCAAGCUGCUAAAUUAUUGCACAUCGAGAAUUUUUCUUUAUUGUUAAUCUAAAUCUAUUUAUUAAUUCAAGAAGAUUUUCGAUUGACAAGGAGCAUACUCGAGGCAGGAAAUGUGGAGUAUGUUUUCUCAAGCUUAUCAUUUUCAGUGACCUCUUCUCCGCAUAAAUUUAAUUGUGAUAUAAUUCUAUACAUGGAAGAAUUAUAUUCAGUUAUACUUUUAAAGUCCGAUAACCUCAAAUUAACCAAUCAUGAUGCGCCUAUGGUAGAAUGACCAACUUUAGGUGGUCAUGUCUAUCUUUCAAAUUAUUUCAUAGUACAAGUGAGUCUUUAAUAGUGACGUAUUGCAUUUUCAAUCCCUCGUCGAGAUAGUGAAGGAGAAAUAUCAUAACUUUUGCAUGUUCUUGACUGAA